AGAGUUUGAUCAUGGCUCAGGAUGAAUGCUGGCGGCGUGGAUAAGGCAUGCAAGUCGAACGGUCCGCAAGGACAGUGGCAGACGAGGUAGUAACACGUAGGUACUCCCCCCGAAGCCUGGUAUAGCUCGUCGAAAGACGGGGUAAUCCCAGAUGGUCCCGAAAGGGUAAAGAUUUAUCGCUUCGGGAGAGGCCUGCGUCAUAUCAGCUUGUUGGUGAGGUAAUGGCUCACCAAGGCUACGACGUGUAGGGGCGCUGAGAGGCGGACCCCCACCGAUGGGACUGAGACACGGCCCAUACUCCUACGGGAGGCCGCAGUCGAGAAUCUUCCGCAAUGGACGAAAGUCUGACGGAGCGACGCCGCGUGCUGGAAGAAGUGCUUCGGUACGUAAACAGCUUUUAUGAGGGACGAAAUUAUUGACGGUACCUCAUGAAUAAGGGGCUCCUAACUCUGUGCCAGCAGGAGCGGUAAUACAGAGGCCCCAAGCAUUAUCCGGGAUCACUGGGCGUAAAGGGUGUCAAGGCGGCUAUAUUAGUCGUUCGUAAAAUCCGUGGGCUCAACCUACGGUCCGCGAGCGAAACGGUAUAGCUAGAGGUUGGAAGAGGUGCAUGGAACUCACGGUGUAGGGGUGAAAUCCGUUGAUAUCGUGGGGAACACCAAAGGCGAAGGCAGUGCACUGGUCCAAAUCUGACGCUCACACA
rnacentral:rRNA from 1 species